GACGUAGGGCGCGAGCGUUGUCCGGAUUUAUUGGGCGUAAAGAGCUCGUAGGCGGCUCGUUGCGUCGGCUGUGAAAACCCGCAGCUCAACUGUGGGCUGCAGCCUGAUACGGGCGGGCUGAGGUUCGGUAGGGGAGACUGGAAUUCCUGGUGUAGCGGUGAAAUGCGCAGAUAUCAGGAGGAACACCGGUGGCGAAGGCGGGUCUCUGGGCCGAUACUGACGCUGAGGAGCGAAAGCGUGGGGAGCGAACAGG
rnacentral:rRNA from 1 species